rnacentral:rRNA from 1 species
AAAUUGAAGAGUUUGAUCAUGGCUCAGAUUGAACGCUGGCGGCAGGCCUAACACAUGCAAGUCGAACGGUAACAGGAAGCAGCUUGCUGCUUUGCUGACGAGUGGCGGACGGGUGAGUAAUGUCUGGGAAACUGCCUGAUGGAGGGGGAUAACUACUGGAAACGGUAGCUAAUACCGCAUAACGUCGCAAGACCAAAGAGGGGGACCUUCGGGCCUCUUGCCAUCGGAUGUGCCCAGAUGGGAUUAGCUUGUUGGUGGGGUAACGGCUCACCAAGGCGACGAUCCCUAGCUGGUCUGAGAGGAUGACCAGCCACACUGGAACUGAGACACGGUCCAGACUCCUACGGGAGGCAGCAGUGGGGAAUAUUGCACAAUGGGCGCAAGCCUGAUGCAGCCAUGCCGCGUGUAUGAAGAAGGCCUUCGGGUUGUAAAGUACUUUCAGCGGGGAGGAAGGGAGUAAGUUAAUACCUUU